GCGUUAUUCGGAAUUAUUGGGCGUAAAGGGCGCGUAGGCGGCCCGGCAAGUGGAAGGUGAAAUCCCUCGGCUUAACCGAGGAACUGCCCUCCAAACUGCUGGGCUUGAGUCCGGGAGAGGUGAGUGGAAUUCCCAGUGUAGCGGUGAAAUGCGUAGAUAUUGGGAGGAACACCAGUGGCGAAGGCGGCUCACUGGACCGGAACUGACGCUGAGGCGCGAAAGCGUG
rnacentral:rRNA from 1 species